AAGUAAUGUCUUAAAAUGAUAAUACGGAUAUUCUGCGAUUGAUUUUUAUGACAUUUUAAGACUGACAAGGCAAAUAUAUAUAUGUCUCAUCUUAACUUAUUGCACCGACGUAGCAGUGUAGCGAAAAAGAACAGACUAAAGUCAACACGGAGUACACGGGAGCACGACCUAAUCCUUAUCCCUGUGGUAGUGAGGGCAGUCAGCGAGUCAGCCACACUGCCACAGUCAGCACCAUGGCGAUGAACGUGCCGUAUGAGGCGAUCGGCAAGGGCUUCGUCCAACAGUAUUAUGCGAUGUUCGACGACCCGGCGCAGCGGCCGAACCUCAUAAACAUGUAUAAUGCGGAGACGUCCUUCAUGACGUUUGAGGGCUUGCAGAUCCAGGGCGCUAUCAAAAUAAUGGAAAAGUUAACUAGCUUAUCUUUUCAAAAAAUAAAUCGGGUAAUAACAGCGAUUGAUUCGCAACCAAUGUUUGAUGGAGGAGUUCUCAUUAAUGUAUUAGGAAGAUUGCAGGCAGACGAAGAUCCACCACACGCCUUCUCGCAAUGUUUUGUGCUGAAGCCAUUGGGUAAUUCAUACUACUGUCAGCACGAUAUCUUUCGCCUUGGCAUUCAUGAUAUUGCAUGAACGAAGGAAAAUUGAGCUGAUUUUCGCGACGAGCGUGUGAGCAGACAGGUUGUCGAGUGACGGAUGCUCCGGAGAUCACAAUUAAUAAAUUCCCACGUUUUGCUUGCUCCAAUUCGAUCGCUUCAAACAACGCUUGGAAAUUGCCGGCGCCGAAACCCUGAGAAAGAAAUAGCAAAUUUACGAUUACUUAAAUAUCAGUUAAUUUUUUGAGUUUUUUUUAGAUACCA
rnacentral:misc_RNA from 1 species